UCCCUUGUGGCUUAGAUGGUAAAGAAUCUGCCUGUAAUGCAGGAGACCUGGGUUCAAUCCCUGGAUCAGGAA
rfam:Ovis aries breed Texel chromosome 4, whole genome shotgun sequence.